GGAGGGCUGCGCGGCGCCGCGGAGCCUCGCGCCGGGGGUUUCCCGGCGCUCCUCUGGUUGUGCAGCGUUUUCGUUAGUGCGCGGCGUUUGUCACCUCUCUGCCUUCAAAAACCGAGUGCGAGAAGGAGUUUUCGUGCGUUUCUAGGUUGAUGCCAGUGCUAUCAGAGGACUGGACUCCUUACUAGAAAAGAGCUUUGAAUUUACAGUUUUCAUUUCAUCUGAACUAUUCAAGGUAAUUGACUGGUAGCGGAUUUAGUUGAAAAGCUGUUAGGAAUUU
rnacentral:lncRNA from 1 species